rnacentral:rRNA from 1 species
UGGGGAAUAUUGCACAAUGGGGGAAACCCUGAUGCAGCGACGCCGCGUGAACGAAGAAGGUAUUCGUAUCGUAAAGUUCUGUCCUAUGGAAGAUAAUGACAGUACCAUAGAAGAAAGCUCCGGCUAAAUACGUACCAGCAGCCGCGGUAAUACGUAUGGAGCGAGCGUUGUCCGGAAUUAUUGGGCGUAAAGGGUACGCAGGCGGUUUAAUAAGUCGAAUGUUAAAGAUCGGGGCUCAACCCCGCAAAGCAUUGGAAACUGAUAAACUUGAGUAGUGGAGAGGAAAGUGGAAUUCCUAGUGUAGUGGUGAAAUACGUAGAUAUUAGGAGGAAUACCAGUAGCGAAGGCGACUUUCUGGACACAAACUGACGCUGAGGUACGAAAGCGUGGGGAGCAAACAGG